rnacentral:rRNA from 1 species
UGCGCAGGCGGCUUAUUAAGUCAGUGGUGAAAUCUCUCGGCUCAACCGAGAAACUGCCAUUGAAACUGAUAAGCUUGAGUGUAGUUGUAGUAGGCGGAAUAUAGCAUGUAGCGGUGAAAUGCUUAGAUAUGCUAUAGAACACCGAUCGCGAAGGCAGCUUGCUAAACUAUUACUGACGCUCAUGCACGAAAGCGUGGGGAGCAAACAGGAUUAGAUACCCUGGUAGUCC